UUCAAGCUGUCAUAGCCAAUACCACCUGGAUCAAGGUGGAAGCUGAUAGGAUGAUUUGUAAUGAUACACUCUGCACUGGGUUGGUACAUGUUUAUAAUGUUACCAAGAUACAAACUAUGUGUCGUUUUGUAGUAGUUCCUUUAUUGUUGGGGGGGGCAGGUAAUCAGUAUUAUUGGAUGCCACAUAUAAACGGAAAUUAUAUAGAUGGGAACAACCGAACACAUGAUCUAAGUGCAUGUGAAGAUACAACGGAUGGUAAAAUAUGUCGUCUACAUUCUAGGAUAUAUGAACCAUGUUUGUUAAAUCAUACGAUGAAUGUUUGUGAAUUUACUAUCCUGCCCUUAACCUACACAUUAUUAGUGGAGGUGGCUGCACAGGAAAUCUGUGUGGUGACUAAUACACGGGUGGUUCCCGGGAUGGUGGUACCAUUUUCAGGAUGUCUCCGAAAUGUUACUGUCUUAAUGUGGGAAAAUCAGACAUACUUAUUGUUAUCAGAUCGUAAUAUGCGUUAUGAUAUGACAUUUAAUCAAUCAUAUUUAGCUGUACCCAAUUGGGACAUUAAUUUACAUCAGUUAGCUAUGAUACUUAAUCAAGAGUAUACAAGCACAUAUUAUUCAAACAACUAUUGUAGAUGGAAAAUUAGUUAAAAUAGGAUCCAGGAUUGCCGAUGCAACUUCGCAUCACUGGUACGAUUUGUUUCUGGGAUAUUCCACGUCUGCCACUAAGGCUUUGGGGUGGAUAAUCCAUCCAGUUAACAUAUUGUAUUCUCCUGAGAAAACGAGACCAAGGACCGAUUGUGAUACGAAUGAGACGAGCUUGAGGAGUGAAAGGGUUAAGUAAUGUGGUCUCGUUCUUUCAUGACUGGAAAAGUACUGAAGGAGUUAUUUUUGCCAAAAGUGAGAA